UAUAGGCAAGACCAUAGCGAGAAAAAUUUAAAGAACAUCGGCGUUAUCUAACGUAUCGGGGAGAAACAGUUACCUGAGCCAAGUAAUGAGGUUGGUUGGAACUCGCCAGCUUAUACCGGCCAUUGCUGUACAAAAACAAUUAACAACGACAAGGAAUACGAAGAGUUAUAGAAUCAGCUUCAGUCAACACGUUUUUUCACCUUCACGUCAGCACCUGCCGGUAGGAAGCUCGUCACGAGUAAACCCUGGGUAGACCGGGGCCGAGCACUAACCGGAGGUAUAGGAUCGCCGUCCCUCUCCUAAUGGCGAGAAGAAGGAAAAUUUAACUCCAUCCGAUUGUCAUAACGCGCCAAGAGAGGCACCGACAUCCCGUGAUGGCAAGAGUAGGUUAUAAAGGUGGUGGCAUCAAGAUGGAUAAUUCAUCAAAAUGGAGGUAUUUUUAGAAAUCAUGGCAAAACAAAGUAUGGUUAUUUAUACAUAUACAUCUGUUGAACCCUAAAGUCUGUUGAGUUAGAAC